rnacentral:rRNA from 1 species
CCUACGGGAGGCAGCAGUGGGGAAUAUUGGACAAUGGACCAAAAGUCUGAUCCAGCAAUUCUGUGUGCACGAUGAAGGUCUUCGGAUCGUAAAGUGCUUUCAGUAGGGAAGAAAAAAAUGACGGUACCUAUAGAAGAAGCGACGGCUAAAUACGUGCCAGCAGCCGCGGUAAUACGUAUGUCGCAAGCGUUAUCCGGAAUUAUUGGGCGUAAAGCGCGUCUAGGCGGUCUUUUAAGUCUGAUGUUAAAAUGCGGGGCUCAACUCCGUAUUGCGUUGGAAACUGGAAGACUAGAGUAUCAGAGAGGUGGGCGGAACUACAAGUGUAGAGGUGAAAUUCGUAGAUAUUUGUAGGAAUGCCGAUUGGGAAGCCAGCUCACUGGAUGAAUACUGACGCUGAAGCGCGAAAGCGUGGGGAGCAAACGGGAUUAGAUACCCCGGUAGUCCACGCCGUAAACGAUGAUCACUAAGUGUGGGGGGUCGAACCUCCGUGCUCAAGCUAACGCGAUAAGUGAUCCGCCUGGGGAGUACGCACGCAAGUGUGAAACUCAAAGGAAUUGACGGA